rnacentral:lncRNA from 1 species
AUGAAGACUUGCCACAUGCAGCCUGCUGUACAUGGAGGAAACAGGGAACUUCCACCACAGACUGGGCUUCAGAAGUUGUCCAUCCCACCCAGGAUGGAGGGGCUGCAUGUCUGUACCCCCCUGGACGGAGUGGCUACACGUGUGUACCCACCCAGGACGGAGGGGCUGCACAUCUGUACCCACCCAGGAUGGAGGGGCUGCACAUCUGUACCCACCCAGGAUGGAUGGGCUGCAUGUCUGCACCCACCCGGGAUGGAGGGGCUGCACGUCUGCACCCACCCGGGAUGGAGGGGCUGCACGUCUGCACCCACCCUGGAUAGAGGGUCUGCACAUCUGCUGUACCCACCCGGGACGGAGGGGCUGCACGUCUGCUGUACCCACCCGGGAUGGAGGGGCUGCACGUCUGCUGUACCCACCCGGGAUGGAGGGGCUGCACGUCUGCACCCACCCAGGAUGGAGGGGCUGCACGUCUGCACCCACCCAGGACGGAGGGUCUGCACGUCUGCUGUACCCACCCAGGACGGAGGGGCUGCACGUCUGCUGUACCCACCCGGGAUGGAGGGGCUGCACGUCUGCACCCACCCAGGAUGGAGGGGCUGCACGUCUGCACCCACCCAGGAUGGAGGGUCUGCACGUCUGCUGUACCCACCCAGGACGGAGGGGCUGCACGUCUGCUGUACCCACCCGGGAUGGAGGGGCUGCACGUCUGCUGUACCCACUCAGGACGGAGGGGCUGCACAUCUGCUGUACCCACCCAGGAUGGAAGGGCUGCACGUCUGCUGUACCCACCCGGGAUGGAGGGGCUGCACGUCUGCUGUACCCACCCGGGAUGGAGGGGCUGCACGUCUGCUGUACCCACCCGGGAUGGAGGGGCUGCACGUCUGCUGUACCCACCCGGGAUGGAGGGGCUGCACGUUUUUACCCACCCGGGAUGGAGGGGUGCAUGUCUGUACCCACCCGGCAUGGAAGGGCUGCACGUCUGUACCUACCCGGGACGGAGGGGCUGCACAUCUGUACCCAUCCGGGACGGAGGGGCUGCACGUCUGUAUCCGGGGUUUCUGGACUGGAUGA